CUCAUUGGUGAUGGGACCCUAAUUAGUUCUAGGUGCAAAUGAGGCACACAGAAUGUGCUUUGAAGCUAUUUGGGGCAAUUUGUAUCCUACAAGGAUAUACAGCUACUCUUUUUCCAUGGAUACUCUUCCAAUUCUACUCAACUGUGGGGUAUCCCCUUUUUUCUGGUGGGUAUUGUUUAAAGAUUCACUGUGCAUCAAACAUAUAUUUGCUUUAUGCAAAUCAAUUAAGAACUGCAAAGAAUACAGUCCUCCCCUUUCAUGCACUAUAGUGCUGGGUUUCCAUUUUAAUGAGAAUUGGGAACAACAUAACUGAAUUGGACAUUCCUUCAAGUUGCAAUGGGACUUUAUAGAACAUAUCCUUAAAGAAACUCCACUAAAGUGCCCUUCUCUGAUUCAUUAUCAUGGCAUGAAGGUGACCCUAGGCUGGCAAAGGUCUAAUCCAAGAACUCGAAUGACAGUCUGGAAAGCUACAGAGGCUUCUCAUCCACAAUGGGGGAGGGGCUCAAGAGGACUAGAAUCUGGAGGGAUGAGAUUCUAAGAGUGGAAACCAUUGCUCUCUCUCUCUCUCUCUCUCUCUCUCUCUCUCUCUCUCUCUCUCUCUCUCUCUCUCUCUCUCUCUCUACUGCAAAGAGGAAAGUCUGUCUGAAACUGGAUCCUGAGCACUAGACUAAAUCCCUCCUUGAACCUGAAUACUACACCCCCUCAAAGAUCCCAGCAAGAAGUGUCAAAAACCUGAGAAGAGGAAGAAACAGCCCUAAAAAGAAUCUCUCACAUCUCCUUGACACCCUGGGUCUGGAUAUUGCUCUGCUGUGACAAAGACCCGGGUUCACCAAACCUGAACCUCUCAGAGGUCAGGCUGUCAAGCCAGGGUCUCUCAACUUUGGAGGGAGGGAAGGAAGAUUUAGAUAGACAGGGACCGCCUUUCCCCUCCUUUCUCUAGACCCUAACCCUUCAGACAUCUUCCUGUUUACUGCUGACAAUAAUUGUUUAGAAUAAAGAGUGUAAUCUA